rnacentral:lncRNA from 1 species
UAUUGAAUCUGUGUUAGCUUAAAAUGUGACUCACACCCAGGUUCGUACUGUCGCUGUGGCUGUCGUUCCUCAUCAUUGUGACGCGGAAGGAUAGACCGCAGACGGAGCGUAAAGGCACGCCUUGUAUUACUACGACACAGCUGCAAUCUCGCAUUCGAUUCUGUAUUCACGGCGAGGAAGGUUUCCCUAGACGUUGAAGGAAGCUUAUACUUAAAAGAAAAUGUCUGACAAACCCGAUAUAUCAGAAGUAACAAGUUUCGACAAGUCGAAGCUAAAACAGACAAAAACAGAAGAAAAGAACCCAUUACCUACGAAAGAAACAAUUGAGCAAGAAAAGAAAGCGUGACGGAUCUUGAUGUCACGUGAUCGGGAUGGAGAAUAUACGUCCAUGUUGUCGUUGCCAGUGGAAACAGUGCUUUUCGGAAAUCUCGCGAGAUUUCUGCUGUCAUUAUACAUAUAAACGUUUUAUAUUAAAAUAAUUCCAUUUGUACAUUGAAGAUGACCAGUAUCAUUAGAAUGUAUUCAUACCAACUUGCUAACAUUCGGCUAUCAUAUGAUUAUUUCUUUGUGUAUAACUCUACAUACCGUGAUCGAAAUCAUGUGUUUUAUUAACGAAAUAAAAUUCUGAGGUCGAGCCACGGUUUUUUCGAGGCUUCUUGUA